rnacentral:tRNA from 1 species
AGUAAAGUCAGCUAAUGAAGCUCU